CCCAUUAAGAGCGCAACACUCUUAUUCACUGAGAAGUAUGCUACAAAUGAGAAGACAAAUUCUGGUCCAUCUUCUCUUUGCAUGGCUUCUGCUUGCAGCUUCUGCACUCAAUCAUGUCACUGCUAGUGUUCAGGCUACUCAGUCAGUUCAUUUCUAGCUCGGAGCCUUAGACGCUAGCCCAAAGCAGCGAAGUGGACAUGUCAUACCUUAUUGGGUUGAAGAAAAGAAGCGUAAAAGCCCAUCAGGGCCUAACCCAACAGAGAAUCAACACCCACCAUCUAAACCAUAGAGAUGGAAACGCUCAUUAGGCAUCAGUGUUCAGUAGAGACAUCAAUAGCUGUUGGAUAUCAAUGGAUUGGUGUAGAUUAGCAAUUCUGCUUUUAGGAGCAUUGUGUUUGUACAAAAAAAUGGCAUUUAAUUGAAUAUGCGUACUUUACAUGUUGACGCAUUGACUAUGUCUAAAGUCAAGCAUGUUUGAAUAUCCGUUCAAAAUGUGGUGUAAGAAUUCCAAGAUAAAUCUAACAACCAACAAACUCCGUUUUAC